AUUGAACGCUGGCGGCAGGCCUAACACAUGCAAGUCGAGCGAGCGGCGGCCGGGUGAUUAAUGUCUGGGAAACUGCCUGAUGGAGGGGGAUAACGACUAGAAACGGUAGCUACUACCGCAUACCAUCAGAUGUGCCCAGGUGGGAUUAGCUAGUGGGUGGGGUAACGGCUCACCAAGGCGACGAUCCCUAGCUGGUCUGAGAGGAUGACCAGUCACACUGGAACUGAGACACGGUCCAGACUCCUACGGGAGGCAGCAGUGGGGAAUAUUGCACAAUGGGCGAAAGCCUGAUGCAGCCAUGCCGCGUGUGUGAAGAAGGCCUUCGGGUUGUAAAGCACUUUAAGCGGGGAGGCGUUACCCGCAGAAGAAGCACCGGCUAACUCCGUGCCAGCCGCCGCGGUAAUUC
rnacentral:rRNA from 1 species